GGUAGGCCUCCAUUUUGCAAAUGUAAGAAUAGAAUUCUUAGGAGCUGAGGCAGAGCUGGUCUUUGGGCAGAGCUGACUGCCCUUAUUUUUCACAUCUGGGAGUGUAAGCUGGCGUACCUCAACUGGGAUUUGCCUUUUCUUCCCAUUAGUUCCUUGCCUGGAUCCAGAGGGUCUAUCCUCCUACCUCAUUAAGUUCAGCAUAAGUCUGUUCACAAUCAUCAGAAAAUGGAAGCAUCCUAGAUGAAUCAUGAAAUCUUAGCAGUGCAAGUCUUGUCCUCAUCAGACCAGCCUCUAUGUUCUGUCGAUGUCCACUUAUACAGAGACUCACAGUUGGUCAAUUUAUUGACAAUAAAUAACUGUGGAUGUUCAACCCUACAGCGAUGGCAGUAUCCCAUCUUCUCCAUAAAGUUCUGGGUCAGCAGUUUUGACUGUGGAUUGAUAAUCCUGUCCCUCCACUUGAGGACCUGUCUAUCUACUGAAGCAAAAGAAAAACUUCAUAUUACUCACAGUGCAACCAAUGCCUUUUGAUGGAUGCUGAUUCAUGAAGCACAUCUGAGGGAUAAAACAUAUAAAAGGAUGAAUUAACACUAACAAGUGAAGAACUGACAAGAUGUCCAGGACCUGAUGAAGUUUUCAGUAGGAACUCAUCACUAUUCCCAGUCUGAGUAUAUGCUUGUGUGAUGUAGAGUACGCAGCAUCAGGAAAUAAUGAUGAAGCACAUAAGAAAGGAAGUAUAUUAUAAAUGUUUCGGUAAGUGCUUAGUUACAGGUAAAUAUGUCGACCGGUAAAUACAAGCAGAAUCUGUAAAGAACCUCCAUGACAUGGAGAUGAUUUUGCAUGAGCUUGGCCGGAA